UACGUAGGGCGCAAGCGUUAUCCGGAAUUAUUGGGCGUAAAGAGCUCGUAGGCGGUUUGUCGCGUCGAAUGUGAAAACCCGGGGCUCAACUCCGGGCCUGCAUUCGAUACGGGCAGACUAGAGUUCGGUAGGGGAGUCUGGAAUUCCUGGUGUAGCGGUGAAAUGCGCAGAUAUCAGGAGGAACACCGGUGGCGAAGGCGGGACUCUGGGCCGAUACUGACGCUGAGGAGCGAAAGCGUGGGGAGCAAACAGG
rnacentral:rRNA from 1 species